AUAUCCUACCAAACAUGUUCAGUGUUGAGCAUGAUAAGAACAAAUGAUGGUUUCCAAAGUUUCAUAAUGCAACAUAAGAACAAAAUGAAGAUGGACAAAUAAUUAAAGUGUCGGUGAUCUGUUCUGCUGGACUCUUCUUGGGAAGUUUCUGAUUCAUCACUCAUCACCUUGUGUUGAAUUAUUAACUUUACAAGUACAGUUUGAUGGAUCAGGCCCAUACGGCAAAAACCCACAAAAUUUAGAGAACGAAAAUCUUCAUUAACAUGGACACCUAACAAGGGAUUUAUUUGGGGCCUCCGGCCCAGUCAUAGAAACAACGCUUCUGUGUCUCUCUUAAGACUGUCCAACGAGGAAAACAAAACAUUCUUUUAUGCAAAGAUUGAGAGAGAGCAACAGGGACUUUCAUACUUGUAUAUAAUUCAUGAUAAUUCAAUGCUCAGCCGGUCUAUAAGCCAACAAGACCAAGAUAGAACAUAAACCAAUGAGACAUAAGCUUCAGAUUCUCUUUGAAAUCUGCGACAGAGAAGACACUCGGGGAUGGGAGGAAUAACAAUGGAAAAAUUGUUCAACCACCUCCCAAGUUCUUAUAAAAACACUUAUCACAUAAUUUACCUUCGGAACAUGCAGGAUUUCCUAAAAUAUCAUGCUACUAUGCGUUAGAAAUAACAAUAGAAAAAUAAAACAAGUGCCACGCACAGAUGUUCAAUGGAAUAAAUACAUCAGUUGUGGGAGUCUAGUAAUUCUUCGCUUCAGGCUUUGGUUCAGAUAGACUUGGAUGUUCCAAAUAUAGUUGCAUAAACAAAGGUUCGCUACUCAUUGACUUGAUUGGGGUUAUCAGUGGAGGUUGUUGCCAUUGCUUUGUGUCAGUUGGGAUCCAUAACUCUGCAUACUUGCUUGUACCAACCUGAGGAAUGGAACUAAAGUAGGCUGUUAUCUCCCACCUGCAAUCUCGUGGGAGAACCUUGGUAAGAGGCCCUGAGACAGAAAGUUUCAUUAAGAAUGACCUAAGAGAGAAUUCCAGGUCACCUUCUUCCACCUUCAAGUCACAAGACUGAUUCACCGUGAGCUUGAAAAUGAAUCUCUCGACUGGGAUAUUAUCAGUGCUAGAAAAAAUUACUGCCACUCUGUUGACCAAUCCCUUUUGGAUAAAAGGAAGGAGGCCAGUAACAGCAGAGUGAAUGUAAUCUCUGAGCUGUGGGUGUCUAGCUCUCUGGACCACGACAUUCAUAUACCUCCUCCUCUCAAAUGCACCGCCAGGAUAUACUCCUUUGAGGAAAAUUAUCGAUGUAAUUGCUACCUCCAAGAAUUCCACUAAUACCCGAGCCCUUUCGUCUUGAGGAGAUUGAUUUUCUCUGCUUUCCAUGGGUGAAGUAAACGAUCAAUCAGCGAAUAUGUCUCAGGGAUCCAUUGACGGGAAAAUGGGGGAGAAGAUAAGUUUAAACGCCACGGUUUUGUUAACGACGAGUCGUUUUUUUAUUUAAGCCCAUGGGCCUGAAACUGAAGUCUUAGGCCCAAUUCUAAUGUUAUUUCAGUUCAUCUUUCUUAGACCAUCUUCUUCGUCUUGCUGUCUGCCUAGGGUUUUAGGUGUUGAGUAACAGUUACAGGGUGGCAAUCAAUUGACCUGAUAAUCAGAAGCAUGGCGGCUGAGAAUGGAGAAAUUGAGGUGAAGGAAAUGACGAAGAAGCAGAAGCACAAGGGAAAACAUGACAAACCGAAGCCGUGGGACGAGGACCCAAACAUCGAUCAUUGGAAGAUUGAAAAAUUCGAUUCCUCUUGGAAUGAAAGCGGCAUGCUAGAAGCCAGUUCGUUCUCUACCCUUUUCCCUCAGUACAGAGAAAAAUACUUGCAAGAAGUGUGGCCAAUGGUGAAAUCUGCUUUGAAGGAAUAUGGCGUUGCAUGUGAGUUGAACCUGGUUGAGGGGUCAAUGACUGUUUCAACUACUAGAAAAACUAGGGAUCCCUAUAUCAUUAUCAAAGCGAGGGAUCUCAUUAAGCUUUUAUCAAGAAGUGUUCCAGCACCUCAGGCAAUCAAAAUUCUGAAUGAUGAAAUGCAGUGCGACAUCAUCAAGAUUGGAAACUUGGUCCGCAAUAAGGUAUUUAUUGCUUAAAUUAUUUCAUAGGUAGGUUAGGUGACUAUUUUAUUAUCUUACUUUCGUAACUUUUAUAUUAACUUAUGGUCUCCUUGGGUGUGGGAGAUAAAAUGCUCAUUUUUCAUGUGUCUUGGAGCAGUGAGAAACAGUCCAUUUGUAGGUAGUACUCUACUUAUCUAGUUGUAUAUAGCUAAGAACUUUUUUUUUUGUAAUUUUUUAAAUUCUUUUUCUAAAUAUAUAUUUUUAAUGUGCCCUAUCUUGAUUAUGUGCAGAAGUCUAGAGUCUAGACUGAGUAUGGUGCAGGAACUUAGUCUAAAAAGUUUGUCUAGUGCUCGCAAUUUGAAAUUAACUAGACAAUAAAAUCUCCAAGAGCUCAUCAAAGUUUAUAUUAUUGCUUGCAGGAGCGAUUUGUUAAACGACGACAGCAUCUUGUGGGUCCAAAUUCUUCCACUUUGAAGGUGUGUUCAGCUUCUUGGACCGUUGUUGUACUAUUUUUGGAAUCUUCACUAUACUCCAAUCCUCUUCCCCUAUGAAAUGAAAACUUGUUAAAAAAAGGGAGCUUUUGUAUAGACAAGAUAAGCAUGCAACCUAGCAUGCUGAGAGAUCGUCUUUUAGUUCUUUUUACUAGCUUAUAUUUCAUCUUUUACUGGAUGCAGGCCCUUGAGAUUUUGACAGGCUGCUACAUCUUAGUUCAGGGAAACACUGUCGCUGCUAUGGGCUCAUUUAAAGGUUUGAAACAAGUAAGAAGGAUUGUGGAAGACUGCAUUCAAAAUAAAAUGCAUCCUGUAUACCAUAUAAAGAUUCUUAUGAUGAAGAAAGAACUUGAAAUGGAUCCUGCACUUAAAAAUGAGAACUGGGACAGGUUCCUUCCCAAGUUUAAGAAGAAAAAUGUCAAACAAAAGAAGGUUAAGAGCAAAGAAAAGAAACCAUAUACACCAUUCCCUCCUCCUCAACCACCUAGUAAGGUUGAUAUGCAGCUGGAGUCAGGAGAAUACUUUUGGAGCAACCAGAAGAAACAAGCGAAGAAGUGGCAAGAGAAACAGGAGAAGCAAGCAGAAAAAACAGCUGAAAACAAAAGAAAACGGGAAGCUGCUUUCAUUCCUCCCGAGGAGCCCAAAGAGCAGAAUGCUGGUACAUCAGAGGAUAAAAAUAAUGAUGUGGCUGCUAUUGCCAUCUCAAUAAAGGCAAAGGCAAAGGAAUUCGGGAAGAAAAAGGCUAUUGAGAAUGUCAAUGCAGAAGAAUAUAUUGCUGCAUCAGGAGAGCUACCUAAGAAAAAGAAAUCAAAGCAUGUUUAGUCUAGAUAUUCAUGCUUAUCAUAGAACGCUUUUAUUAGUUUGGCUUUGCUAAGUUGCAUGCCAUUGUAUACCUUGUUUAUUAUUUUUGUUAAGUUGCAUGCCUUUGUAUUCCUUGUUUAUUAUUUUUGUUGAGUUGCAUGCCAUGGCUCUGAUAUGAUGUUAGGACUAUGUCCUGUUUAGGGAACGAUCCUGUAUGAUCCUUAAAGCUUGC
rnacentral:misc_RNA from 1 species